CAGGUUGGCCAAGUUCAAGCCCCAGUUCCGGGAUGGAGAGCUCCAUGCCUUGGCCCUGCCAGUGGGACUUCUGCAUGUGCUGGGAGAGAAGAAAGGUUUCCUUUGAGCCCUGCCAGGAUCUUGUUACAGUCUCCACAGAGCAAGACUUCAGGGUCAGGGUGUUGCAUUAUGAAGACAGGAGCCAUGGAGCCUCCAGCAGGAGACGAUGGCUUCCAUUGAGAUAAUAUGACAUAAUGAGGCCACAAGUCCACAGCCACCACUCAGGAAACAAUAACCAUUUCAAGAGGGCACAGGAGGUGUUACAGAGAGGCGUGGUGACACACCCUACCCACCGUGGCCUCAGAGAUGGUGCUAAGGGAGAAAGUUUGCUGGGAUUUGUCUGAAAAGGUCAGUUAUUAAAAACAGCUUC
rnacentral:lncRNA from 1 species